UUCCUUUUCCUAAAGCCUCUCUCUUACCCUGGUUGUCAGUCAGAUCGCUCAUUGAGAGUCCAAGUGCCGUCUCCAGGCUAGCCAUUCCUAAUGAGAGGCACCAUGAGGCUCUGGGCCUCCUUUACCUCCUUCUUGGUGUUGUUCAUCUACUGCUCAACACUGACGGCUACUACAACAAAUAAAGAAAAAUGUCAGUUGCCUGAAGAUCAGGGUAUCUGCCGAGGGGUUUUCACUAGGUGGUUUUUCAAUAUGGACACCCAGAAGUGUGAGUCCUUUAUCUACGGGGGCUGUGGAGGCAAUAACAACAACUUCAGAAACAAAUUGCAAUGCCUGCAAGCCUGCAGUAGUAAAGAUUGAUGAAGAGAAAUUGUACACUAUCCUGCCAAAGCCUGUUGUCUGAAGGGCUCAGCUUGAGGACCUGCCUGCCAAUUCCUGGGUCUUCAUUUCCCCAACUUAUGGCUUGCUCACUCUAAACACUUUGUUCUCUCCUUCUCCCCUCUCUAUGUAUUGAGAAUCACAUGAUGAUAUGUAGAAAUUUCUGUAUUGUUAUAUGCAUGAUUAGAUGCAGAAAAUGGCCAUUGAUAAAGUACAUUGAUUUACGAUAAAAACCCUAUAAGCAUAGACUUAGAAGGAGUGCUUUUAAUAUAGCAAAGAGUAUAUAUUUAAAACCAUCUAAGUGGCUCAGUGGAUAGAGCACUGGACCUGGAGUCAGGCAGACUCAUCUUUGUGAGUUCAAAUCUGGGCUCAGACACUUAGCUCUGUGACCCUGGGCAAGCCAUUUAACCAUAUUAGCCUCAGUUUCCUCAUCUGUCAAAUGAGGUGAAGAAGGAAAUGGCAAACCACUCCAGUAUCUUUGCCAAGAAAACCCCAAAUGGGGACACAAAGAGUCAGACAAGACUGAAAUGACUGAACAAAACAAAAAUACCAUCUAAAAUCAGUAACUAGCAUUAUCUGCAAUGGGAAAACAUUAGAAAUUUUCUAGUAAAUACAUUUAACAAUAAAUACAUGAAUAAAGCAAGGAUACCUCCUUUC
rnacentral:lncRNA from 1 species